rnacentral:lncRNA from 1 species
CAUUUUCUUCUCAUGAAUGCCUAAUUAUUUUCUUUUUCAUUGCUUUUCCAAAAUUAGUGCUGCCCAUAUAAUGGAAAUUAUAAAAAAACAGGAGGUAUUAUAAUUCUGGCAAUUAGGAACUAGCCUCCUUCUUUUUAGAUUUAAUUUUAUGUCUUAAAAGUGUGCACUUUGUUUUUUCAAAUUUAAAUAGCAAUAUAAUGGCAUAAUUUAAGCCUUAAGUAGACAAGAUAAAUAGAUGGAGGGUCAACAGAUCAUGCUAAAUCUCAAGCUAAAAGUGUUUUUCCUUUUUUUCUCUUACUAGAGAAUGAACAAAUUUAAGCUGGUUUUAUAAUUUAAAAUACCAUAUUUCAUUUUUAUUAUUUUCAGUUUUAACUAAUGUGGGAGGUUUCCCUAACUCUUUUGUCCUCUUCAAACUUCUCCAAAAGCCCAUAGCAACCACCUUUGGAGCUUCUAAGCAACAAUAGCUUUUCAUCAAUUAAAUACUCCAGACCGACAACUUAAUUAAAAGUCAGCUUUUAAUGCUUGCAGAUUCCUGGUUUUUAAUUUGACCCCAUUUUCUUGAAUAAUAAAUAUUAUAGCAUGUAAAGUCGACUCUCAAUUAUCUAUAGUAGUGGAAGGCAAAGAUAGGACAAAAUCCAUAGAUAGCCUCCAAUUCUCAUUUUAGCUAAACCUGAUAACCUUUUCUUAUAAAACUUUACACCAAUACUUCUAAUAAGUAAAAAAAAAAUGGCUAGUAUGCAUUUAACCAAUUUCUUUUUUCUCCAAACAGGGGAAAGUAAGCACUAAUAAACUAAAAAGAAUGUAAGGAAAAUAUUCAUAGGAGGAAAAUGAAGGAAAACCACAAAACUUUUCAAAAAUUAACCAUUUGAUUAUAAUCAAUAAUUACUUCUUUGAAUGGCUAAUGAGGUGGGAGCCUUAUAAUAAGGUAUGCCUGUCUAUUAGGAACAGGCUUAUAAUGUUUAUGGUCAUCAUCCUUAAUUACCUGCAUCCUAUCCUUUCUUUUCCUUUCCUUUUUCUCUUCUCUUCUCUUCUCUUCUCUUCUCUUCUCUUCUCUCCUUCCUUCCUUUCUUUCUUUUCCUUCCUUUCUUUCUUUUCCUUCCUUCCUUUCUUUUCCUUCCUUCAUGCCUUCUUGCCUUUUGUAUUUCCUUCCAACUCUUGCCUUCUGUCUUAAUCGUAUCUAAGACCAGUUGGGCAAACCUAGGCAAUUGGGAUUAAAUAACUUGCCAGGGUCACACUGCCCCAUUCCAAUUUUCUAUACACUGUGCAACCUAGCUGCCCUCAACCUUUUUUUUUUUUGCAGGCAUCCAUUUGCUACAACUAGUGGUUCUACAUGUACAAGAUUCAAUCCCGUCAAUUGUCUUCCCUUCAUACAUCCUAGUAUGAUUGACAUCAUUUUUGCCAUGUUUCAUGUGCCUCUCUUAAUUAAGAUGGCAGACAUCAUUCCCACAUGACAGAUUAUAGAUGGUAUAUUAUACCCAAUUGUGUCCCCACAAAUGCAGAAUAAAAGCAAUGCAGAGUUGUAACUUCUUUCUUCA